rnacentral:rRNA from 1 species
AUACGUAGGGUCCGAGCGUUGUCCGGAAUUAUUGGGCGUAAAGAGCUCGUAGGCGGUUUGUCGCGUCUGCUGUGAAAUCCCGAGGCUCAACCUCGGGUCUGCAGUGGGUACGGGCAGGCUGGAGUGCGGUAGGGGAGAAUGGAAUUCCUGGUGUAGCGGUGGAAUGCGCAGAUAUCAGGAGGAACACCGAUGGCGAAGGCAGUUCUCUGGGCCGUAACUGACGCUGAGGAGCGAAAGCGUGGGGAGCGAACA